rnacentral:rRNA from 1 species
UAAACGAUGCCAACCAGUAAUCGCGUCUGAGUUCCUUAAAUGACUCGACGGGCGACUUCCGGGAAACCAAAGUUUUUAGGUUCCAGGGGAAGUAUGUUUGCAAAGAUGAAACUUAAAGAAAUUGACGGAAGGGCACCACCAGGAGUGGAGCCUGCGGCUUAAUUUGACUCAACACGGGAAAACUCACCCGGCCCGGACACUGGAAGGAUUGACAGAUUGAGAGCUCUUUCUUGAUUCAGUGGGUGGUGGUGCAUGGCCGUUCUUAGUUGGUGGAGCGAUUUGUCUGGUUAAUUCCGAUAACGAACGAGACUCUAGCCUACUAAAUAGAUCGUCGGCUUACAAACGCUGAUGAGACUUCUUAGAGGGACAGGCGGCGAUUCAGCCGCACGAAACAGAGCAAUAACAGGUCUGUGAUGCCCUUAGAUGUCCGGGGCCGCACGCGCGCUACACUGAAGUGAUCAGCGUGCAUUUUCAGCCUACUCUGCCAAGAGUGGGAAACCCAAUGAACCUUCUUCGUGAUUGGGAUAGGAGAUUGUAAUUAUUCUCCUUGAACGAGGAAUUCCCAGUAAGCGCGAGUCAUAAGCUCGCGUUGAUUACGUCCCUGCCCUUUGUACACACCGCCCGUCGCUACUACCGAUUGAAUGUUUUAGUGAGGUCUUCGGACUGGCCGGUGCAGCUACUCUUGUAGUGGCAGCGCUGUGUUUGGAAAGAUGGCCAAACUUGAACUUUAGAGGAAGUAAAAGUCGUAACAAGGUUU